rnacentral:lncRNA from 1 species
GAACUUAUGACGGUAUUUUUUUUCUUCUAACAAUAAACGCCCAGAGCUGCUUUCCGAUGGACGUCCAGUCUGGAUCCCAAAAAGCAUCCCUGUAGGCACAAGCCACUGCAUGCCGCGAAAGUGCAGGCCAACGCCGCGUGAAAGUGCGAGGCCAUCUUCACCUGGUCAUUGAGCCUGCACCGUCAACUCCUCCUCGCCGAGGACAGACUUCCUCAGCGGCUGCGGCUGGCGCCUUUGUAGGAAGCACCCAACAGCGUCUCCUGUCCUGGAGAUCACCUUACCUCCCACUGCACAACAGAGCCAAGAUGAGAACUUGUUUUAAAACGACAGAGCCAAGAUGAGCAACGUGGCCAAGAGCCCAAGACAGCACAAAAGAGCCAAGAUGAGCAGGCCAAGACGGCGAAACAACGUACCUACGGAGCCUGCGCCGGCGCCGCAUCAGCGAGGUGACGCAUGACACCAAUACUGCCGCUAACCGGCGAUGGGCCAAGGCCGUCGGGGUGGGAGCCAGUGAAUAUGUGGGAGAUGACGGCCCUGAAUCGUUUUUCAGUUAUACCACUACAUCGCCACCACCCAACUCGAAACAUACAACAAAUUCCGGAGUCGGCAUGUUCUAAGCUUAUUUCUUCAGUUUUCUUCUAAUAUCUCAUCUAUGUUAUGUGGGUGGCUCCUUUCAACUCUCUACUAACCAUCUCAUCACAACUUCACAAGUGCGGACAUGAUAUGUUUCUUGAAGCUGUAAUGCAGAGUAGCGU